GUUAUAAAUUUUAUUCAUUUAGAGUAUAAACAAUAUUAACCACUCUAAUUUUUAACGUGAGAGCUCGAUUCCAGAAAUUUACUUCACAAAUAAUAGUAUAGAUAUAUAUAUUAAAAACCUACUAAUAUUAAAUAUUUUUUUAAUAUGUAUUUUUUAAGCACAUAAUUUGAUAAGAGAGAUCAACAAUAAUUUUAUUGUGUUUUCAACAGCAAUAAAAUUAGCCAAUUUUAUAUAUUUGUUUUGUUAUAUUGUAUUUCUAAUAGAAUCAAUAAUGUAAAUAUGCGUAAAACAAGAAUUUAUAAAUAAUUGUUUAUUUUACAUAACAAUGUUUCAGUUGGUGAUGUUAAUUGAUUAUUUACAUGUGUUUUAAACACUUUUAGUUCUUAAGAAUAAAUAGUUGGGCAAAUCUCCAAAAUAGCACAUUUCUAAGUUUAUAUCACAAAAAUAGCACUCAAAAACUAAAAUGACCAAAAUAGCAUUUUAUCUUUUGAAAAAUUUAAAUUUUUUUAUUUUUCAAAAUUUGAAAUCUUAUCCCCAAAACCUCACUUCUCAACUCUAAACCCUAAAACCUAAACUCUAAACCCUAAACCCUAAAUUCUAAACCCUAAACUCCACCCCUUGAGUGCUAUUUUUGUGACUUUUGACCUUGAGUGCUAGUUUGGGAACAAAAACUUGAUUUAGUACUAUUUUGGUCUUUUUCUCUAAAUAGUUAGGUAUUGGAUGCUAUUUUUAAGACAAAAUAUUUCACAUUAAGUUAAAACAUUUUUAAUUUAUAAAAUAUUUUGCGAUAAAAUAUUCCACAUUAGUUUAAAAUAUUUUAGAUUAUAUCAUAUUUGGUUAAUUAAGAUUUUAUAUUAUGAUUUUGUAACAGAACAUUCAAUUUUCUACUAUGAAAUAGUUUUAUAAAAGAGAUAUUUGUGUUUCAAACAUUCUAUUAACGAUUUAAUUGAAAAAUUGGCAUUAUUUUUAUAUGUGAUAGUAUAUAUAUGAAAAGAAUCUUGUUGUUCAUUUUUAUGUUAGAUUUUCUAAUACUUAAUUGUUUAUCUACUAUAUGGUUAGUCAAGGAUAUAGACUGUAUACAAAAGAUUGAUUUUCUUUUAGUUAAUUUGAUAGAAAUAAAACAUAGAUACUUUAAAUUUGUAAUGUUCUUGAUAUUAGGAUUAUUUUGUGAGUUAAUUUUAAGCUUUAAACGUUUUUCUGUUAAAAUAAAUUUAAGACAUACAUUUAUUAAUCGUAAAAGACAAAAGAAAUUAAAAAAUAAAUUUAUUAAAUAUAUCAAUGACAUUGAAGUGUAAAUAACUCGCAGAACUAAGAAAUAUUCUUAUUUUGUACAUCUAUUUAAAUAGAUUAGAUUUAAUUUUUAAAACUGUAUAUAUCUAAGACAAUGUCAGAAAAAGAGAAAGUAAUAGUGCCGACUACAAGAAAAAGACAACGCCCUAGUUAAAAAAAACGUUUCUAAGCAGAUGGAGUGACGUCAAAAUGAGGCAAUCCUCCACAUUAUUAGUUGGAGGCUACUAUAAUAUUACGAGUACUAGUCUGUGUUAGUUUGGUUUCAUAUGCUAGGUCGGGGUUUGGAGGUUACUUACAUACACAACUUAGAUUAAAAAGUUUCAAGCAAACGAAAAUAAAGAUCUUAAUCACAAAAACCCACAUAUUUAUUAGCACAACCAAUAUGAGGCUACGACUAGCUAACAUAUGAAAGUCUUUGAUACGUAUAAAGGAUAGGAAAUGUUUCGAAUUCUUUGCAUCCUCAUGUUUUAGGCGACAUGUAUGUUUGCUGUGAUUUGGUCGAUAUAUAUUUGAUGAUAACUGUGCCUCGAGAUAUCUUUUCCUAGUGAAAUAACAAUAAAAAAUUCAAAACUAAUGUGUUUGAUUCUUUAAUGACCAAACAAGAUUAUUUGCUAGGUUAAUUGUUAAAAAAAUGUCGGAAUGAAGAAUAAUAGGUGCAUCACACUUGAUUUCCAUGCUAAAAAGAAUUUCUUGUAACCAUAAUGGUUCACUAAUUUGAUCUGAAUUGCUCGUUAGUCUCAUCGAAACAAAACAUCAUAUUUUGUGUCUUUCAAGAUAUCAAAGAAUCACCAAGUUGAAAUGAUAAAAAAAUUUUUUUUUGUCAACGUUCGUUUUUAUUAAACAAAAGCUCAAUUGGCAAUUUACAAGCAGUCUUAAUUUUAAACUUUCGGCCCAAACGGAACCUAAAUUAAAGAUAAACAUGAACACUUGGACGACACGUAGUCUACCAAGCGGCUCUGUUUCUUCAACAGAGAAAGAAGAAAGCGGUGCCAAAACCAUCUCGCUAGAAAGCCAUCAAUUUUCAUCUAGAACUCGUUUAAGGCUGCUUGCAUGUUAUUCUUGCCUUCAAUCGUCGUCAAACUUGAAGACUUCUUCUCCGGUUGCAAGAAUUUAGUCUGAGGAAAAGUUUUAACAGAACCAAGAAUAGAAUCUUGUCAGAACACUAACCUUUAUGGCAGCUUCAAUUUAACUGGAUUAUGUCUUGAAUCUUCAAAGCGUGAUCUAAAUCUCAUAUUUUGAUCAUCGUGGAGACUCCACCCAAAAUCGAAACAAAGCUUGACACCACUUAUGAAUCAAAAAUCUAAGCGUGUCUAGCAAAUAGAGAAAUCAAACCUCUUAUUCAAACGGAAUACUUAAUCAAACAAAAGGAGAAGAACUAAACAAAAAUUUAUUUACGUUCAACCCAGAUUGGCGAAAGAUAGGAUUGAUAAACAGUUCCGUUUUGGGUGAACUAUUACACAUCAAAAAUUGCCUAUGCGAAAGGGACAAUCUCCAUAGGAUAAUCUCCAUAGGAAAACUAAAAUCGAAAGAUAGGAUUGAUAAAUAGUUCUGUUUUUAUAUGUUUUGACAUUACUCGCUGAUCCCAGAGAUUUCUUCUUUUUCCUUUUAUGAAAGAUGCACAUUCUACACUAUAUCGCGAUCCAUUUGCUGUUGCAUGCCGGUCUUCUUUUUUUUGAACAUUUGCAUGCCGGCUUUUACGAAAUCUAUUACAAUAAAAUUAGAUCGUCUCACUUCUCAUGAAGCCACCUCAGUAUUCAUAUGACAACCCUAAUACUUUAGUUGAACAAUUAAGCAUCAUUAUCUCAGUUAACUUGAUAGUUUGUUCUCAAAGGCCCAGUCCUUGAAUAAGCCCACCUACUAUUACCUUAUUGAUCCAUGCGUGAAGACGGCUUCGUCGUGACGAUCAGACUUUAUCUCACCACCUCUGAAAUCACGGCGGCUUAACGGUUUCGGCUUGCACUCAAUCAAUUAAUGUGGUAAUGCCAUGGAAGCACUACAUCACAUUCAACACACCCUCCUUUCUCCAUGGUUACGAAUCUGCAGAUAUAAAUAAGGGUGUACGAUUCAGUGAAAUUCAUCACUUUCUCCCUCCCAAGCACUAGGAAACGGAUUAGAGGCAAAAGAAGAUCUUGAUUAUGUGAGUGUGGAAUUUUUACAGUUGUUUAACCCUCGCCCUUGCUCUUUUGAGCCGCUUUCUUCCUGGACCAGUGACUGUUGUGGUUUUUGUUUCUGAUCAAUGAUAACUGCAAUUUCAUGGAUACCAAAAGGGGCUUCAAAGGCCAUGCCUGAUGAUGCUGAGCCUCCUUCUAAGGAGAAGAUCAAUGAGCUGAUCGAGAAUGGACUCCUUCUCAAGAAAAGGUGAACUCUUUCCUUUUUUCUGUACUUUUUUUAAUAACCCUUUGAUUUAUGGUUACAUGUACAACAUAUGCUAUCGAGUGACAUGAUCGAAGACAACGGGAUGGAGCAUGACAUACUUAGAGGUGAAGUUGCUCAUGCCAAAUCUUUUGUAAAACCAUGUUCCAAAAGCAAGGAUUCAAGCCGAUAACGGAUGGUGUUCUUUUUCAUGCUUAAAAUUCUCAAAGAAGCUAUAGAGAGGGGUAUUUUCCUUCUCAUGCAUAGCAUAUGAUGAUUCCAUAGAUGUCGGUGUCGUCAGGUUUCUGCUGAUCAAAGAGAGAGAUUGACAAUAUCAUUAGUGGAGAGGCUUGAUCAGUCUAGCGACAGAAUCAGACAGAGUAGAAGAACCAUGAUGGAGACAAAAGAUCUUGGUGUAUGACCAGCAAGAUCUGAGCCAGCACCGACAAACUCUCCUUCACUCUCAUAGCAAGGUGCAAGUGCAUGAUCGUAUACCUUUCGUAUGUACUUGGAGCUUCAUGGUAUGGAUGAGGAAGAGGUUUUCAAGGCUAUCUCUUCCCCCCUCCCCUUUAUUGUUCUUAGUGUGAUUUCCCACACUGCUGCAUAAAUGUCUAUAUGGUCCUCCUCCUUUGUACUACAAUAGUAUCACCUUUUCUUAAAUCUUCUUCAAUGUGUUAAUGUCUGAAACUUUUUGCCUAGAAAGAAACUCUCUGUCUCUUUAAAUA